GAUGAACGCUGGCGGCGUGCCUAAUACAUGCCAGUCGAGCGAACAGACGAGGAGCUUGCUCCUCUGACGUUAGCGGCGGACGGGUGAGUAACACGUGGAUAACCUACCUAUAAGACUGGGAUAACUUCGGGAAACCGGAGCUAAUACCGGAUAAUUUAUUGAACCGCAUGGUUCAAUAGUGAAAGACGGUUUUGCUGUCACUUAUAGAUGGAUCCGCGCCGCAUUAGCUAGUUGGUAAGGUAACGGCUUACCAAGGCAACGAUGCGUAGCCGACCUGAGAGGGUGAUCGGCCACACUGGAACUGAGACACGGUCCAGACUCCUACGGGAGGCAGCAGUAGGGAAUCUUCCGCAAUGGGCGAAAGCCUGACGGAGCAGCGCCGCGUGAGUGAUGAAGGUCUUCGGAUCGUAAAACUCUGUUAUUAGGGAAGAACAAAUGUGUAAGUAACUAUGCACGUCUUGACGGUACCUAAUCAGAAAGCCACGGCUAACUACGUG
rnacentral:rRNA from 1 species